GAUGAAGAACGUAGCGAAAUGCGAUAAGUAAUGUGAAUUGCAGAAUUCAGUGAAUCAUCGAAUCUUUGAACGCACCUUGCGCUCCCUGGUAUUCCGGGGAGCACGCCUGUUCGAGUGUCGCGAAAUUCUUCAAGCCUUGGAUGGAUUUUUUUUUGUCUGUCCUUGGGCUUGGUUGUUGGGCUCUGCCGUGUCCUUCAUUGGGACGGCUGGCCUUAAAAGCAUUAGCCGAUCCUCGUGUGGUACUGGUACUACUCAGCGUGAUAACAAUCUGAUCGUUGAGGACAUCUUCUGGAUGGCCAGUCAUCAUUUGGGUUGCUUCUAAACCGGUUUCGCAGAUUGCUCAAUCUGUGUGCCACUUUUCAGCUUUGACCUCGAAUCAGGUGGGACUACCCGCUGAACUUAAGCAUAUCAAUAAGCGGAGGA
rnacentral:misc_RNA from 1 species